rnacentral:rRNA from 1 species
GGGAUAAGCUUGGGAAACUGGGUCUAAUACCGGAUAUUCUGCGUGAUCGGAUGGUUGUGUAGGAAAGAUUUUUUGGUAAGGGAUGGGCUCGCGGCCUAUCAGUUUGUUGGUGGGGUGAUGGCCUACCAAGACGACGACGGGUAGCCGGCCUGAGAGGGCGACCGGCCACACUGGGACUGAGACACGGCCCAGACUCCUACGGGAGGCAGCAGUGGGGAAUAUUGCACAAUGGGGGAAACCCUGAUGCAGCGACGCCGCGUGGGGGAUGACGGCCUUCGGGUUGUAAACCUCUUUCAGUAGGGAAGAAGCGAAAGUGACGGUACCUGCAGAAGAAGUACCGGCUAACUACGUGCCAGCAGCCGCGGUAAUGCGUAGGGUACUAGCGUUGUCCGGAAUUAUUGGGCGUAAAGAGCUCGUAGGUGGUUUGUCGCGUCUGCUGUGGAAACGUGCCGCUUAACGGUGCGCGUGCAGUGGGUACGGGCGGACUAGAGUGCAGUAGGGGAGUCUGGAAUUCCUGGUGUAGCGGUGAAAUGCGCAGAUAUCAGGAGGAACACCGGUGGCGAAGGCGGGACUCUGGGCUGUUACUGACGCUGAGGAGCGAAAGCAUGGGGAGCGAACAGGAUUAGAUACCCUGGUAGUCCAUGCCGUAAACGUUGGGCACUAGGUGUGGGGUCCAUUCCACGGAUUCUGCGCCGUAGCUAACGCAUUAAGUGCCCCGCCUGGGGAGUACGGCCGCAAGGCUAAAACUCAAAGGAAUUGACGGGGGCCCGCACAAGCGGCGGAGCAUGCGGAUUAAUUCGAUGCAACGCGAAGAACCUUACCAAGGCUUGACAUGCACUAGACCAUCGCAGAGAUGUGGUUUUCUUUUUGACUGGUGUACAGGUGGUGCAUGGUUGUCGUCAGCUCGUGUCGUGAGAUGUUGGGUUAAGUCCCGCAACGAGCGCAACCCUCGUUCUAUGUUGCCAGCACGUGAUGGUGGGAACUCAUGGGAGACUGCCGGGGUCAACUCGGAGGAAGGUGGGGAUGACGUCAAAUCAUCAUGCCCUUUAUGUCUUGGGCUUCACGCAUGCUACAAUGGCCGGUACAGAGGGUGGCGAUACCGUGAGGUGG